AGGUCAACUCCAACGAUUUUUUGAGGUCGAUGGAUCUCAAUGAAAUUCACUGGCCACACACUUGUUAACCUUUGUUCCCCAUUGCCUGGAUCAUCUGGCCUUUCCUCGCGCGGCCGUCCGGAUGAGUGUGUGUCGGGCCCAGCAACAUCCAGCCAUGAAAAAUAAACUUCCACAACACGUCACCGAGACCCAAAAAGAAAGGUCUCCUCACCAGAGACCGCAGCUGUCAUCAAGCGGCUAAAGAAUGAUGCGCAAAGGUAUCGGAAGUCAGCUACAAUAAAAAGCCGGCGAAAAAUUGCUAUAUAGAAAACACUCGAGAAGUUAAAGCAUCAUAUCCCUGAGCUGUGUAAACUCUUGGCUAGCCAAGUGGCACUCCAUUGUCGGAAGAGGAAGGGAAGGAGGUGGUCUCGAGAGUUGAAAAAAUUCGUCUUGAAUAUGUAUUUUCAUGAGCCAAGCUCCUACCCCAAUUCUCGGAAGGGCUGGCUUUGCCAUCACCAAGGUCGCUUCAAAGCUGGCUGUCUGAAAUUUCAAUGACUCUCGGAAUUAUUUCUAGUGUAUGGGGCAUUCUUAAGCAUGUAGCAAGACAUUGGCUACUAGAAGAUCGGACGUGCUUAAUUACAUUUGAUGAAUUGUCAGUGAGACCAAAUUUACAGUCUGACAUUAAACAUGAUGUAGUCAUUUGAUUUUCAGAUGAUGGCUCAGAGACGACAACAGUGGUGGCAAACGUAGCGUUUGUAGCACUCCUGGAAUCUCGCAAUUGUGGGUGAUGCCUGUGGUGUUCGCUGUUGCCAAAAUUGCUCUGCGUGGAAAAUCAAGACACUGAUACUGGCCUUGAUAGUGCAGCUUGCAGAAUGGGAGCUGUAUGCCAAAGCCGCGGUGUGCGAUCAGGGGUCAAGUAACAAUAAAUUAUUUAAUGAAUUGGCAGCCACACUGGAAAAUCCGUAUUUUGAAGUGAACGGGAAAAACGUUUCUUGCUUCUUCGAUACUUCACACCUAUUGAGGUGCACAAGAAGUAACUUUCAAGCCCCUCACAAGCUUUUCAUUGCCACAGAAAUAGUAGACUCGACCUACAAUUGUGAACAAUAAAAGUGCUCUCACCCACUUGAAGUGAAAUUGCCGAGAAUUUCAACAUUUAUUUAUAUCUGCUUGAGGCACAUGAAGGUCAAGUUCGUGGCGCAUGUCUUGAGCGAGUCUUUGCCAAUAGCAAUGUCCGUCAAUAUUGCUCUUGGUAAGCUACCUGCAACCGUCAAAUCUACUGCAGAUUUUAUAGAACAGAUGGACAAGCUAUUUGACUGCCUCAAAUGCAAAAUUGCCACCACCUGUUUUCCCGGUAAAAUGAAUUAUGCUCUUAGUGCCACCUCCGAGCACCUGGCUUUUUUACGAGAGGCAAUCCAACGAAUAUCGGGUUGGAGAUUUGACAACCCUAGGCAGCCGCACACUAUUCGUGGCUGGCUAUAGUCACCAUACAGGCUGUCCUUACGCUGGGUAAAGACCUCCAUAAAAUUUUAACUUCACUUGCCUCCUGACUCGUCGCCUCCAGCAAGACUCGCUGGAGAAUAUAUUCGGCACUUUGAGGCAGAAGCAUGGCUGCGAUGAGCAUUCAAACGUGUUUCAAUUUAUCGCUGCGUUGAAACACGUUUUCGUUGGGAAACUGUCAAACCUGUCAUAGCGCGAGAAUUGCGAAAUUGUGGAUUCGUACCUACUUGCACGUCUCUCCUUAGGCGAGCCUCGAGCUGAACAGGCUGUGAUAACAGAAACGUUUUUCCCAAGCGAGACCUCAGGUGACGACCUCCUUGACAUCACGGAAAAGAAUGCUUUGUACUUCUUUGUCGGCGGCAUCACGCAGCCAUUCCUUAAAAACAGGUCAGCGGAUUGUAUAUGGGAGCCAUUCAGGAGUGGUGAUCGGGCAUUCUCAGGUUCCCAUCAAACUUUAGCCAUGCUAGUGUCUCGUAGUAAGGAAGGCGGACUUUUUGCUAGUUCGACACUGCCUUCUGUUGUUUUUUCGAGGUAGUGAAAGACAUGGAGAAAUGUUUUGUAGAACACAUAGGUGUGGUCGCACAUUUGUGCUGCAUUAGUAUACUGUGCUGAAAGAUAGGCUAAACAGUGGUCUUCCCAAAGAAAUAUUUUGCUCUGAAAACUGUCGCUUGGACCUGCUGCGGCAAUUUCGCAAUGCACGGCUCAUGCUGCAGGCCCUCAAAAAACGGCGUGACAGAAAGUCCGCUGCAAAAAGAAAGCUCCAGAAGCUUCAAAGUUAUACAAAAUUGUCUUACUAAGAACCUAUUUCCGAAAGUGCAGUGGGCAUUAAAUGAAUGCGCAUUUCUUUGGGCAUUCUCUUGAAUAGGCUAUUUUUACAAGACACUUUAGCGCAUUCUUAUGUCUGCGCAAACAGCGUACAAGGUAUUGUCUUUUUGCAGAAAUUCACAGCUCACACUGUUGUGCCAUAAUUCACUGCUGCGAUACGCGAAUUUUGAGAUCUUGUCCUUGAUGAUGUGAUGUUGCACAAGCACUAAUACUAGUCAGCAUUCUUGCCACGAACAUUUUCAUUUGAAUGUCAAAUUAGGAAGGAGCUCGUUCUAGAAAAGCCAAAAAUAUUUUGCUAAGUCAAGAAAAUAUGCCGUGCCAAAAGCAAGUGCACCAGAAAAGCUUGGGGCUUCCGCCGGUUUGUUAAGGCAUCUUCAAAAGUCAAAUACAAACUAACUCCAGUCUUAUACAAAAUUAAUUGCAGAGCUCAGGUUUGUCCUACGCAUCCAACAAGAUGCACGAAGCUGAGCUUAUAAGCUCUAUUAAAGAAAAUACUUGAUAUUAUUAAGGGAUAUUUCAGGAGUGUCAUAAAAACCAGUCAGAAACACUAGCUCUCAGCUAUCUACCCAGGCUGAUUCAUUAUAUGCAGUUGAUCUGAAUUACUUUUGUUAACGUUUUUCCACACCCAGAAGGUGUCCGUUCUCUGAUACCUUUGCACAUCAAUGUGUCCUGGUCCAAUUUCCGCAAGUGAUUAACCAUCUGCACUUGCCUAUAUUGAAUUUACUCUUUUUCUGUCUGCUAGGUGACAUUUGAUGUUUGAUGUAGGAUUGUGAUACUCAUGCCUAACUGCAAUAAAAAUAUGUGCAUAACAAAUUACGAUGAAUAACUACAGUAUUUCUAGUGUAAAAAUCUGUACUGAUACCUUUUUAGCAAUGCUACAGCUUUGAACGACGGUUUACGCGAUGUGUAGAAAAAUAAAGCCACAUGUUAAAAUGUAAAUAAAAUUUGCUUUGUCAGUAACGGUACAAGGAAAAGCUGAGUUACAUAGUCAAUUCGCUUGCUAUAGAAGGUUAUUUUGUCUAGCAAGUUUGAUAGAAAACACAAAAAGAAACUGGUAGUGUUGGGAUCAGUCUGUUGGUCUUUUGCACUGCAUGAUAAGUGCAUUGUUCACGAAUGUGAACAUGUUCUUAUGAACCAUCCUUUCUGGAGAAUCGUGUAAUGUACAGCCAGUGAACGUGAUGACCCUUGUAGCGAUAUUCUACACACAAUGAACCGUGUGAAUACUUCUCUUACAGUUCAUGUUACCAAUGCAGAAUGGGAACAUUUGUAUUUACUGCAUGAGAUAAACAUCUCUGGGCUAUUGUUGCGUGUAGUUUUAUCGUUUGAAAUACGUUGCUAAUAAAAUGAGUGAAUUAACCACUCUUUCCAA